AAUGAACGCUGGCGGCAUGCCUUACACAUGCAAGUCGAACGGCAGCACCGACUUCGGUCUCGUGGCGGGUGGCGAAGGGGUGAGUCAUGCAUCGGCACUUACCUUUCCGCGCGGGAUAACGUGGCGAAACUUGCGCUAAUACCGCAUACUCUGUUAUCACGCCAGCGGGUGAUCGCAAGAUCUUGCGCCUAUUUAGCGGCCGAUAUCCGAUUAGCUAGUUGGUGGGGUAAAGGCCUACCAAGGCGACGAUCUGUAGCGGGUCUGAGAGGAUGAUCCGCCACACUGGAACUGAGACACGGUCCAGACUCCUACGGGAGGCAGCAGUGGGGAAUGUUGGACAAUGGGGGCAAGCCUGAUCCAGCCAUACCGCGUGAGUGAAGAAGGCCUUCGGGUUGGAAAGCGAUUUCGGCCGGGAAGAAAUCGCGCAGGUUAAUACCCUGUGUUGAUGACGGUACCGGAAGAAGAAGCACCGGCUAACUACGUG
rnacentral:rRNA from 1 species